GGCAAGAGAGACCCGUCCACUUUAACUAUGGGCGCCGAAGGGGCAAGACCAUAAGGUUGAAACUCUCAGGCAUAAGGAUUGU
rnacentral:ncRNA from 1 species